UGUGUUGGAGUAAUGGUGUUUAAGAAGCUGAUGAGCCCCAGGAGUGCCUGAUCUUGGGUGAAGAGUGGCUGGGCUCUCCUGGGCCAGCUGCUCCCAGCGCAGUGAGCACCAGCCGGAGGCGGGCCCAACAGACGGCUGCGGGCAUCGCCGGAGGGCAGGGUGUCUGCGCAGCCUAGCACUUCCAGUCACCUCCUCUUCGCCUUGGAAAUUACAGCUCCUUUCUGUAACUAGUUGCUGAAAGUGUCCAGUUUUGCUGUUGUCCAGACAUGAAGGAGAUUUGGCUUACAUAGAGUGAAGGGCCUGAACCUGAUUGAACCAGAGAAUGAGAAUCAGCAAAGCCCAGUGCCUGUUACAUGAGAGAGAGCAUCAAGGAGAUGCCAUGAUGUGGAAACAGGCAUAUGUGAAAGAUCUUUCACUGCUCCUUUUGCUAGGAUGCUGCUGAAAUGGUGAACAAGUAAGGAUUACCAGAACAGGAGAUGGAGGCUGGUGUCCUCAGGUGUGAAUGACCAGAGCAUGUAGAUGAUAAUUAUCAGGUAUGAGAUUUUAAACCCAUAUUUGUUAGGUAAGUCAUAACAGUAGCUAAUUCUUGUCCAGAAUAAAUCCCAGUUUCUCUACACAGCAAUGUCAAAAGACAGGCUAGGAAGAGGGAUAAGCAUGAGGGAACGGUGCCAAUGAUGUAUGAGUGUGGUGGGGUUCCUUCUGUGUUUUGAGUGGUGUUCAUUUAAAAGGAAACAAAUGUGUGAAGAGGGGAAGGAGAAUGCUGAAGGAAGGACUGAGGCAGAGGGAGAGGUUAAAGGAAGGGCAUGAGAUGUGGAGGAGAGCAGUGAAUUUGAGAUUAAAGGGCUGAGAGAAGGAAGAAGCUGGAGGGAAGGCCAGUCAAACAGAGCAAGGGAAGUCCUGCCAGAGCACUGCCCCACCAGGCUGGCAUGGCUUUAUGCCCUAGCUAAAGCUCUGCUAAAUCCCUUUGUGCUUCUUGCCUGAUUUUACUUGGUGGUGAUGCAACCCAGCUAGUGACAUCACAUAAGCACACCUACAAGUGGUGUUGCAGAGUCUAGAUUGUGACCGGCAGAUUAGUCAGCGGUGUCACAAUCCGGUGUUUAUAUCAUUGUCUCCUGAAUGUGGAAGCGAUUGCCAUGGUGAUAACCAAGUUUUCAUCAGUGGAUCAGGCUGUUAAAAAAAGGCAUCCCUUUUGCAGAGACAAACAGCUUUGAGUUAUUUGGAAUAAAAUCAUAGUAAACUCAAGUUAAGCAGAAAUACCAAGUGUGGCACAUCACUAAAAUUUUAGCAGUUGAGGUGCAAUAUAAACAUGUGACUGAACUCCAGCACAUCCUGCAUCUGGGUCACCUAUGGCUACAGGGCAGUAUUAUAUUUUAUUGUUAAUGAAAAGUGUGCCCCUGUGCCAAAAAGCAGCUGUUGCGUCUGCAUAUCCCAGAAUUCUAUGAACAGAUGCAGGGAGCAUGAGGAGUGAAUGGCACCUGAGAAAGUCAGCAGUCCUUCCCAGGACUUGCGAUUUGAGCUGGUUUUGUAAUUUGUAUCGGAAACAAAGCAAGUUAUACUUGUUUGGAAAAAUGUAACUUUCCAGCCUCUUAAUCAGAUGACAGUAUUUUUUUCAUAUGUGAGAUCAGAUAACAAAUUUCUUCUAUGUAAUCUUGAAAUACAUUUUAAAGAUGGGUUCAAAAUAUAGAAUACUUUUUAUUGCAUGUCAUAAACAAUUUACAUCAGUUCAUUUCACUCUGUAGAGCGAGAUCCUACUUCAGUAUUGGUAUUUAUCUUUUGCUAUCCUAAUGUCAGUAUUUGCAGAUCCAAACAAAGCAUUUUGUUUUUAGAACACUAACUGUAAUCCAGUCAGAGGAUAUUAAGCAACUUCCAGGAUUAGACCCUUAGUUAAAGUUUGUCUUCAGUUUCAUAUUUCCUUUGGUUGGUUGGUUGAAUUGUUCUUCUAUAAUUUUGCAUUGGAGUAUAUCCUGUACAAAUAGGGAAGAGAUUUUGACCUAGAAGGAGAGACCUCUUAUUAGUGAGCAUACUUUUAAAUUACAGUAGCUAUCUGAAGCAUCUUGACAUAUGAUAGAUAGCGCUGUUGCUAUUUGGGUUUGAUUCAACUUGUUACUUAGACAAGCAACCUCCCACCCCUAUUUCUCAAGGAGAAACUCAAGAUCUUUCUGAUUUAACUUCAUGCAUGCCAGUUUGAAUAAAUCUGCUGUUUGUGGUGCUGCUGUUGGUGUUACACUGGAGCAUUUUGAUGCAGUUUCAGCGCUGACCACGUUGUAAGUGUCCC